UACAGAGGUCUCAAGCGUUGUUCGGAUUCAUUGGGCGUAAAGGGUGCGUAGGCGGCGCGGUAAGUCGGGUGUGAAAUCUCGGAGCUUAACUCCGAAACUGCAUUCGAUACUGCCGUGCUUGAGGACUGGAGAGGAGACUGGAAUUUACGGUGUAGCGGUGAAAUGCGUAGAUAUCGUAAGGAAGACCAGUGGCGAAGGCGGGUCUCUGGGACGUUACUGACACUGAGGCGCGAAAGCGUGGGGAGCGAACAGG
rnacentral:rRNA from 1 species